UCGAUUUACUCAAAAUAGCCAAUCAAAGGCUCUGAUACCAUUGUUAUGUCAAGUUUCAAACCAAAUAUACAACAAUACUCAAGAAUACUUUGCAAAAUCAAGUUUAGUUAACCCUUUCAAGAAAACUCAUAUCGAGGCAUCUAAGUGAAGUUUAUUACAUUUGGGGUUCAGACUCGGUAAAAAUAUGAUUGUGCCCGUCUGUGUGACCGCAAGAUCCACCCAGAAAAUCCUAAAGCAUUCCUCUAUCUAUUAAAGGAAGCCACAAGGGCAAUAUACUCAAACCAACCCUUUCAAUACACUAAGCAUAUGUUUUCACUAAGAAACAAUCACACUGAGAACAUUUCCAAUCAGAGAUUGGAAGAACACACAAAAGUGGGAAGUAGAAGAUUCUCGAAGAACCACACACCAACAACCAAGAAAUGGCCGUAUGACUCAAUAGGGCAACCAAGGGAUGAUAUUUAUACUCCCACAAUCAACCGUUGAUC
rnacentral:lncRNA from 1 species